GGUCAAGUUACUAAGAGCAUAGGGUGAAUGCCUUGGUACCAGGAGCCGAAGAAGGACGUGGUAAGCUGCGAAAAGUUACGGGAAGCUGCAAGCAAGCAUUGAUCCGUAAAUGUCCGAAUGGGGAAACCCGGCUGGAGUAAUGUCCAGUCAUCCAUAACUGAAUAAAUAGGUUAUAGGAAGGGAACUCGGGGAACUGAAACAUCUAAGUACCCGAAGGAAGAGAAAACAAUAGUGAUUUCCUAAGUAGCGGCGAGCGAACGGGAAAGAGCCCAAACCUAAGUCUACGGACGAGGGGGUGUGGACAGUCGAUAAAGGUAGCCUGAAUUUUAGCAGAAUCGUUUGGGAAAACGAGCCGAAGAGUGUGAGAGCCACGUAAGCGAAAAGAGGAAGGCGUCGAGACUGAUCCGGAGUACCACGGAGCACGUGAAACUUUGUGGGAAGCAGGCAGGACCAUCUGCCAAGGCUAAAUACUACCUGGUGACCGAUAGUGAAUAGUACCGUGAGGGAAAGGUGAAAAGAACCCCGGAAGGGGAGUGAAAAAGAACCUGAAACCCUAUGUUUACAAGCAAUGGAAGUUCGUUAAAGAACGACCAUGUACUUUUUGUAGAACGGGCCAACGAGUUACGUUAUGCAGCAAGGUUAAGUGCUUAAGGUACGGAGCCGUAGCGAAAGCGAGUCUGAAAAGGGCGAAAUAGUUGUGUGGCGUAGACCCGAAACCAGGUGACCUAUCCAUGUGCAGGUUGAAGCUGAAGUAAAAUUCAGUGGAGGACCGAACCCAUAUCUGUUGAAAAAGGUUGGGAUGACAUGUGGAUAGCGGAGAAAUUCCAAUCGAACCUGGAGAUAGCUGGUUCUCCUCGAAAUAGCUUUAGGGCUAGCCUUGAGAUAGAGAGAUACGGGGGUAGAGCACUGACUGUCCUAGGGGCCUUCACCGGCUACCGAAGACUAUCAAACUCCGAAUACCGAUAUCUUAUGCUCAGGAGUCAGACUGUGUGUGAUAAGAUUCAUAGUCAAAAGGGAAACAGCCCAGACCAUCAGCUAAGGUCCCAAAAUGUAAGUUAAGUGGAAAAGGAUGUGGAAUUGCACAGACAACUAGGAUGUUGGCUUAGAAGCAGCCAUACAUUUAAAGAGUGCGUAAUAGCUCACUAGUCGAGUGAUUCUGCGCCGAAAAUUACCGGGGCUAAAACUUACUACCGAAGCUAUGGAAUUAUACUAWGUAUAAUUGGUAGAGGAGCAUUGUGUGAGGGGUGAAGUAGGAUCGUAAGGACCUAUGGACAUCACACAAGAGAGAAUGUUGGCAUGAGUAACGAGAGACGGGUGAGAAUCCCGUCCGCCGAAAACCCAAGGUUUCCUGAGGAAGGUUCGUCCGCUCAGGGUAAGUCAGGGCCUAAGCCGAGGACGAAAGUCGUAGGCGAUGGACAACAGGUAAAGAUUCCUGUACCACCGAGAACCGUUUGAGAGAGGGAAUGACACAGGAGGUUAGGCUAAGCGCACCGUUGGUUGAGUGCGUCUAAGCAACGAGUCUGGGAAGUAGGAAAAUCC
rfam:Fusibacter sp. 3D3 DNA, contig: 19.